rnacentral:rRNA from 1 species
GCCUGCAUAACACGCCCCUCUAAAUCAGUAAUAAUUAAAACAAUUUAAUAAUCAGAUAAUAUAGUACAGAAAUGGAAAUAAGCAACAAAUUAAAGUAAAUUUUAAAAAAUGUACCUCGUGCACUAUGGUUUUACAAGAAAAUAAUUAAAUAUAUAAAUCCCGAAUUCUGAGUGAGAUGUUAAACUGCUGUCAAGAACCCAUUAAUAACUGUGGAAAAAGUUUUAAGAGACAGUUUAACAGAGGCUACAUACCAUUCGCGUAAGAAUAUAGCUGGUUUUCAACAAACAUUAUAUAUUAAAGCAUAUAAUCAUAUUAUAGUGUAACAUUAUUGAGGACAAGCCCGAUAAUUCAUGCAAUAAAUAUAAAUAUUCUUCCCAACCUUAUAGGCCUAAAAUCAGCCAACUAGAGUACUUUAUCGUACCACAAGUGGAUAUAAUAUGUAGAAUUCAAUGMCCAAAAAAGUUGAAAUACUGAAUAAACUACACAUAUUCACCCUUAAUAUGUAAAAAUAAGUAUUAUAUUUAAUAACUAUUACAGCCUGGCAAUAACAGCAUAUAUUCAGUAAUAAUUAAUUAAGGAACUCGGCAAACCCUUAUUUCGACUGUUUAACAAAAACAUUGUCUUAUGAAUAAAAUAUAAGAUAAAACCUGCCCAGUGACUCUUGUUCAACGGCCGCGGUAUCCUAACCGUGCAAAGGUAGCAUAAUCAUUUGCCUAUUAAUUGUAGGCUAGAAUGAACGGGUUAACGAAAUAAAAGCUGUCUCAAUUAAUUAACUAAAAAUUAUUCUCUACCCGAAGAAAGGUAGAUGUACUCGAAGGACAAGAAGACCCUAUAGAGCUUAAUUUAAUCUACAGAACUACACUGUAACAGUAUUCGGUUGGGGCGACCCAGGGCUAACUAAUCACCCAUUAAAUUAAAGAUAAAUUAAUCCAAUAAAUGACCCUCAAAGAUCACAAGAACAAGCUACCUUAGGGAUAACAGGCUAAUCCCACUUAAGAGUUCUUAUCAACAGUGGGGUUUGGCACCUCGAUGUUGGCUUAGGGUAUCCCUAUAGCGCAAAAGUUAUAUAAAGAUGGUUUGUUCAACCAAUAAUUCCCUACAUGAGCUGAGUUCAGACCGGCGUAAGCCAGGUUAGCUUCUAUCCUCGACUUACUACAAUCUACUCCUAGUACGAAAGGACCUGAGCAGAAUAAUACAUUAUCUUAAAGAAUCCAUAUAAUUAAAUAUCAACGACAACAAAUAUAUACUAU